AAGAAAAAUAGCAAAGAAGAGAGAGGGAGGUGUUUUCUAACACAUUGAUGAGAAGUGGAAGAAGAAAAAAAGGUUUAAAAAUAAUAGCUGCCACUUACUGAGGGAUUAGAAUGAGCCACAUAAGUGAUUUGCUUGUGCUCUUUACUAAUACUUGUUCCAUUUGCUUGCUUGCUUUUAAGGUUGACUUUUAUCAAGAAAUAGUAUACAUCUUGUUUCA
rnacentral:lncRNA from 10 species